GCUAGCCAAGAGUUUGAUCGUGGCUCAGGACGAACGCUGGCGGCGUGCUUAACACAUGCAAGUCGAGCGGUAAGGCCCUUUCGGGGGUACACGAGCGGCGAACGGGUGAGUAACACGUGGGUGACCUGCCCUUAGCUCUGGGAUAAGCCUGGAAACUGGGUCUAAUACCGGAUAUGACUCCAUAACGCAUGUUGUGGGGUGGAAAGCCUUGUGCGGCUAGGGAUGGGGCCCGCGGCCUAUCAGCUUGUUGGUGGGGUGAUGGCCUACCAAGGCGACGACGGGUAGCCGGCCUGAGAGGGCGACCGGCCACACUGGGACUGAGACACGGCCCAGACUCCUACGGGAGGCAGCAGUGGGGAAUCUUGCGCAAUGGGCGAAAGCCUGACGCAGCGACG
rnacentral:rRNA from 1 species